rnacentral:lncRNA from 1 species
AAAUUAUCAAGGAAAUCAUAUUUUUCUUUUUAGGAAGAAACUGAAUGCAGCAAUCAAUAUAUUAUUUUUAAUUAUUGCUUAGAAUUAUUGGCAUAAUGUUGAUUCAAGUUAUUACCAAAUAAAACAAAAUUCCAAAAAAAUUCUAAAGUGAUCUAUCAUGCAUUAAUAUUAAUUGCUUAUGGGCAUUUUUUCAAGGAAAUCAAAUCCAAUUCAUCACGUGCAACACCUCUCCCAUUUUACUCACGUGCACCCCUUUUUUUUUUCUUUGUUUUCCUUCUCCCUUAUUUCCUUUUCUUUUUCUUUUUCAUUUUUUUCUUCCUUUUUUUUUUAGUUUUUCUUUUCCCUUUUUUUCCUUUUUUCGUUUUCCCUUUUUUUUCUUUUUGUUUGCAAUUAUUUUUAUUUUCUUCUUUUUUUUUCUUUUUUU